GCAGGAGUAGCCAAGUGGUAAGGCGCUGGCCUGCUAAGCCAGUUCUCCGAUGGAGAGCGCGGGUUCGAACCCCGCCUCCUGCGCCA
rnacentral:tRNA from 1 species